GGGUGCUCGAGUGGCGAACGGGUGAGUAACACGUGAGUAACCUGCCCUUGACUUUGGGAUAACUUCAGUAAACUGGGGCUAAUACCGGAUAGGAGCUCCUGCUGCAUGGUGGGGGUUGGAAAGUUUCGGCGGUUGGGGAUGGACUCGCGGCUUAUCAGCUUGUUGGUGGGGUAGUGGCUUACCAAGGCUUUGACGGGUAGCCGGCCUGAGAGGGUGACCGGCCACAUUGGGACUGAGAUACGGCCCAG
rnacentral:rRNA from 1 species